UGCUUUUUGCAGUGGCAGUAUCAUAGCCAAUGAGGUUUAGCCAAGGUGUGGAUAUUGCUAAUUGGAAACUUUUCCCAAUACCCCGCCCCGAAGACUUGCAAUAUAGUCAGCAUUGGCAAUUUUUGACAGUCUAUGAAGAC
ensembl:snRNA U4 U4 spliceosomal RNA